AUAAUGUUUUAGAAAAGAACUAAGGUUGCAAAAUGCAGAAGGACAAGGGACAAGGGGAUUGCAAAUACAUGCAACAGAAUGAUUAUAAUGAUAGCUCAUAGAAACCAAAGCAGGUAAUGAGAAGAAUGAAGACAUAAUGGAAAUGACAAUCAGCAGCAAGUCAAAGGAUUGAAGGAAGUUCAGACACAGUCAAGUUAACCUGGUCCUCUCCUCUGCAGAAAAGGUGGGUCCCCGACAAAACCCCACCCUCAAGUCUGAAACCAUGACCCAAAGUGAGAACUUACACCUCUGCUUUACUGUUCUACUGUUGCCUUUUUCCUAAACCAUCCAUGACCCCUCCUCCCAUCCUGUGCCUGUAAAAACUGGCAGAGAGGAAGGUAGCUGGACAUUGAAGCCUACGGUUGGAUGUCAGAGAGAAGCGGCUUGACUCUAGAAAGACAGCUUGGUGGCAUAACUUCGGAGAAGAAUCUGGUCAGAGAUGGUCGGAAUUCAGGGGAAGAUGAUCAUCCUGCCCCAUCCCCUUUUCAGCUCCCCUUCCCAUUGAAAGCCACUUUUAUCAGCCAUAAAAUCACCUGAAUUUACCAUCCUUCAAUUCAUGCAACCUAAUUUCUCUUGGACUCCGGACAAGAGCUCGGGAGACCCAAGUAUGGAUACAAAAGGCAGAGGGCCCAUUGAGCUGUUAACAUUUAAGCAGUCCACGGAUGGCAGAGCAAAAAAAGCACUGUAACACUCCCUCUGGGGCUUCCGGGGUUGCAGGCACCUCCCCCAGAUGCUACCGCGGGGCCUGCACGGAGUUUGCUCCUGCCGCCGCCCAAAAAUGCUUGCCCUGACUCCUGCAAUGGCUCACCUGUGCAGCAGGUCCCAGUGAGUGGAGUUCGGCCCUGCUGGCGUUGAAACAGCUGGCUGCUUCCAGCGUUCAUGCACUCCAGUUUCACGAGGAGUUGAAAACUGCAGUCUAGGUAAAUGAGACACCCUUAUUGAGAGUCCUGUGAAGGGGUCAGAGAAAUAUAAUAUCCUUUAUCACAUAGGCUACACAUAUAUAUACAUACACAGUCAUGUACUACAUAAUGACAUUUUGUCAGUGACAUAUUGCAUAUAUGAUGAGAGAUAUUAUUAUGGUGCUGCCCUAUAUACUGUCAUGUUUAUCUUUAUAACAUAUUUUUACUGUACUUUUUCUAUAUUUAAUAUACAGAUAAAAUUGUGUUAUAGUUGCCUACAGUAUUCAGUACAGUAACAAGCUGAAUAGGUUUGUAGCCUAAAAGCAAAAACUAUACCAUAUACCCUGGAUGUGCAGUAGACUACACUAUCUAUACCUAUACAUAUACUAGAUUUGUAUAAGUACACUCUGUGAUGUUCAAACAAUGACAAAAUCACCUAAGGACACAAUUUUCAGAACAUAUCCCUAUUGUUAAGUGAUACAUGACUACACACACACACACACACACACACACACACAUACAUAUGGAGAGAGAGAGAGAGAGUUAUCAUGGAAUUUAUUUCUUAUGAGAGAAAGAAUUGGUUCACACUAUUUUGGAGGCUGACCUCAAGGGUGAGUUGAUAAGCUGAGGUCCCAGGAAAGCCAAUGAUUUAAUGUUCAACCUGAAGGCCAGCAGCCUCAAAAUCUAAGAUCCAAUGUUUCAGUGGGAUCUGUGGUGGGAAAAACACUGAUGUUCCAAUUUGAAGGCAGUCAGGCAGAAUAAAUUCCUUCUUGUUUAAGGGAGGGUCAUCCUUUUGGUUUCAUUCAGACCUUCAGCAGAUUGAAUGAGGCCCACCCACAUCAGAGAGAGCAAGUGAGCUGCUUUACUCAGUCUACUGACUUAAAUGUUAAUGUCACCCAAAAACACCUCCACAGCAAUACCCAGAAUAUGUAUCACCAAAUACCUGGGCACAUAUUGGCCAAGUCAAGUUGCUCUAUAAAAUUAACAUUACAGUCCCCUAAGACUAACUUUAUAGAUUUUUGAAAUUUGUAUUUUCUUUUGGUUAUUAACUAUUUUUUAACCCUUAAAUGUGUUAAUUACGGACCUUUAUGUUAGACAUAUUAAUAUCAUUAAAUCAUUUCACAUCUUCACUCUCAUCCAACUCAUUUAAAAUUAUAUUUACAGAGUUUAGUUUUUAAAGAUCUUUAAGAUAUUUUAAUGAUACAUUUAAAAUUCAGACAUUGUUUUUAUAACUUCAUUUUUUUCUAGUUAAAAUCUAGGAUACUUGUUCAAAUCAUUCUAAAAUUUUGGUCCCCAUAAGUCACUAAUUUCAGGUUAUAGUGAUCUCAUUUUCAUUGGAUUUUUACCAGAUAAUUAACUUUUGUUAUUAAAAAUUGGUCUAGUGUAAUAGUAGCCCUUGUUUUUUCAAUAUUAUGGAAAAUACAAAAAGCAUCAGAAAUAUACUAAUUAUUCAGACCACUCUAGCAGUUUGUGUUUUUCCACUGUUAUUUCCUAUUCCUGUUCUAAUUUGGUGAGCUUCAUUAAAAACACAUUACUCAUUUCAGUUCAUUUUACCCAUUUACAGGUGUUUGCCCAUUAUGUUAUGAUCUUGCUCCUAAUUCUAGUCUCCCCCUCCCUCUCUCUCUCUCUCUCUUGUUAACCAACGUCUCUCUUUUUCCCUCCUAAAUCAAAAAUAUCCAUGGGGACAAAAUUUCUUUCUGUUUUUGGAGGGGACAAAUCUACAUCCAAAAGAAGGAGCACCCUUGUUAUUUCUGUCCUGGCAAUUUUAUUCUGCUGCGCAUAUACCAUCUGUUCAGUAUCCGGUAUUGCAUAUAGCACACUUUCAAUUCGCUUGUAAGUUUUUGUUUGUUUCUUUUGGCUGUCUUAGCUUAUAGCCAUGAUUUCACUCUAAAAAUGUUGAUUGGCAGGUACUAUUUCUUUUUCACCAGUGUGUUCCUGGUUCCAAGAAAAGUGCAGGAACAUAUAGUGGAAUCUCAGUAUAAACUUGUUGAAAGAAUGGAUGAUGCUUCCAUCAUGUUUUGGCUGUGACUAUAGGAUUAGAUUUGUCUCUGGAAUUUUCAUUUUAGCAUAUGUGUUGACUAUACUUCAUGCAUUUAUUAGAGAUAACAUAUGGUGACCUGGAUCAUAAUCCCCUUUUUAUAUUAAUAAAAUCCAGAUUUAUAACAAAGUAGUGGAGGGAAAGAGGCUAUAAUAAAGAGAUAGGAGACAGAGAUAACUCAUUUCUCCAAUACAAGCAAGUCAUCUGUGGGAAGAGGAGUGGGAUGUUCCUAGUUUAUAGUCCUUUAGUGAUAAGGCAUGCAGUCAGCCCUCUGUAUCGCCACGUUCGGCACAGUGGAUUUAGCCAAUGACAGAUGGAAAAUAUUUUUUAAUCUCGAUAAAAAAUAAUACAACAAUUAAAAAUAUUAAAAAUAAAAGCAAUACCAUACAACAACUAUUCACAUAACUUUUACAAUGUGUUAAGUGUUAUAAGUAAUCUAGAGAUGAUUUAAAGAAUAUAGGAGGAUGUGCAUAGUUAUAUGGAAGUACUGUGCCAUUUUAUGUCAGGCACUGGAGCAUCUUUAGAUUUGGGUAUCCCAAAGUUUCCUGGAACCAGUCCCCCAUGGAUAUAUAGGGAACACUGUACAAAAAAAUGGUUCCAGGUUUCUUCCCGCUUUGAAAUGUAAACAUGUCUGUCCAGAGAUAACUCUGUAUUUCUCUGGAGGUUUUUAUCUAUUCAAUUAUCCCUUAACUUCCAAGAUUUUUCUUUUAGUGCAGGUUUUUGUGCAAAGUUGCUUUGGCCACUCCAGGUCUUUCAGAUUUUCAAAUACUUGUUUAGAAUUAGCUUGAGAACUUAAAUAGCAACAAAGCCUUGAUGGGUUUAGAGAUUGCAUUGAAUUUAUCAGCCAAUCUAGUUGGGGGGUGGGGGUGGGGAUUGAAUGUUAACAAUAUUGAGACUUCUUGAUCUAUGACCAAGGUAUCUCUUUCCAUUUCUUUGGGCCUCCUUUAAUUUCAUUCAGUAACGUUUUGUAGUUUUCACUGGACAGGUAAUGCACAUGUUCAGUCAAAUUUAUCCCUAAACAUUUAACAUUUUGAAGCUAUAAUAAAUAAAUUUUAAAUAAAAUAAUUCUGAUUAUUCAUUGCUAAUAUUUAGAAAUACAAUGGAUUAUUGUAUAUUGGUCUUGUGUUCUGUAAACUUUCUAAAAUCACUGGUUAGUUCUAAUAGCAUUGCUUUUUAUUUCCUUUUAAAGAUUUUAUCAAGUUCCAUCAGAUUUUCUUUAUAGACAAUUAUGCUUUCCACAAAUAAGACAGUAAGACAAUUUUCCUUUUUGCAUAAAUCUAGAUGCCAUUUAUUUCUUUUCCUUGCUUUUGUUCAUUGGCUAAAAUAUCCAGUACAUGUUGAAAUGAAUAUCCCUCUAUUGUUCCUGAUCUUAGUUGGACAGCAUUUAGCAUCAAUUUCACCAUUAAUUAUUAAUGUUGGAUGUAUAUUUUGCAUACAUUCAUGUAUUAAUUGCUUGUUACUCCUGUAACAAACUACCACACACUUAUUCACUUAAAACAGUACAAAUGUAUUAUCUUAUAGUUGUGAAGAUCAAAAGUCCUAAAUGACUCUCAUUGCGUUAAAAAACAAGGAGUCAUCAGGACCCAAAGCUCCCAUGCCCUCCUGAGGCACAUCCCCCUCCAGGAACUGAACGAAGGAUGUGUUCUGCUAUCCAGCAACUCUCCAAACCCAGUCCUUUUUGUUUUCUAUGGAGGUCUCAUUACAAGCAUGAUUGAUUAAAUCAUUGACCAUUGGUGAUCAACUCGAUCUUCAGUGCCAAUCUUCUCCCCAGAGUUUUAGUGUGGGGCUGAAAGUUCUAACCCUCUAAUAAUGCCUCAUUCUUUCUGGUGACCACCUCUCAUCCUGAAUCUGUCUAAGGGCCCCCAGCCACCAAUAAACUCAGUAGCAUACAAAAAGAGAAACAGGGACUGAGAUCAAAUAUAUAUUUCACAAAUAACAGUUAAUGUUAACAUGGUUAAUUAUAUUUUAUUAUUUUGAAUGUAAAACAACUUUGUGUUUCCAAGAUAAUAAUUAUGGUGAAAUAUUCUUUUUAUAUAUUUUUGGAUUCUAUUUGCUAAACGUUAAAGUUUUUUUGCAUCUAUAUUCAUAUAACAUACUGAACUAUAACUUGCGUUUCUCACAAUAUGUUAGAAUAAUGUGGUUCUCAUAGAAUGAGUUUCGUUCUCUUCAAUUUUCUGAGUUUCUGUAGAAUUGCCAUUAUUUCUUCUUUAAAUAU
rnacentral:lncRNA from 10 species